AGCACGGCUGGUUUCCAACACCUUCCUGUUGGAGGCCGGAGGUCAGGGUGCGUGGACAUUGGCCAGAGGCAGGGAAGAGAGGCAGAGCUGGGGGCGGUUCUUCAACACGGAGAAGUGAAGUUCAGGAAGACAGUGUGAGGCACAGGGCCAGCAGCCAGGCAGAAAUGCCCACCGCUGAAUAGCAAGAGUAGGAUGCCAAUCCCGAGACUGAACAUCAGCCGCAAAUUCUUGCCCCCGCUCUUGCUGCAAGACCUGACCUUCAUUCUUCAUAUGGGAUCCUCCUGGUCCUAUAUCUCCUACCGCUCACGAACUCUAGGGGACAUUUUCUCAGAAAAACCCAUUUGUGCACAGAAUUCCGUCACCCUCAGAGAGGGGUAGGCUUGGGAAGGACACUGAGAAUCUAAACAGCCUAGAAAUCGCUUAGUGGCAGAAGCAGCUAAAUCAGGAAACACUGUUAAUUCUAAGUAUCAGAGAAUCAGAAGUCUAAGCAUUAGAGAAUUUUUCCUAAAUCGUAGCUCUCCUUGUAACUUCCACUCACGCCUUACAGUUCUGCCCUCUUGGGUCACACAACUGAUGAAAGAGUACCUCUGGCUUUCCUGGCAAUUUUUCUGGAAUUCGAUAGAGCUGGUUAUGAAUUCCAGGUCAGACACCGAGAAGCUGUGAGCCUGCUCCCUAACCUGUCUGAACCUCAGCUUCUAAUGUAAAAUUCAGCAAACAGUAAGACCUAGCUCACAGGUGAAUUGUCUACCAUAGACAAGAGAAAGAAGGUCAAGGCUUAGUGCAGUCCCUGAUAGAUUUACAUUUCCCAGAAGCCCACUUUCAGCCAGAUUAAAAUGCUUUGUGGAGGGUCUGGAAGUGGGAGUGUUUACAGCUUGGAAAAGGGCCAAGAAGGAAUAGAGAUCACUCCCAUUGAAACCCUUAAAGUUGACAUAUCGUUCCUUCUUUAAGAAAAGGAGACCUCACCUGGAAAUGUUAUUUCUGGACCUUCAACCAGGGCACAUGGCUGACCUUUACAGCUGUUGUUGAGUCUUCUUCCCUGUCCUGCUUAGUUUGCCUAAAUCUUUUUUCAGUGUUCCAUAGAGCACCUCUGUUAUAGGUUGAAUCAUGCCCCCCGCAAAAGAUAUGUUAAAGACCCAAUCCUCAGUGAAUGUAAAUGCAAAGUCACAGCUGUGGAUGUGACCUUAUCUGGAAAUAAAGGUCUUCCCAGACAUAAUUAAAAUGAGGUAAUUAGGUGCGCCCUAAUCUAAUGCAAUUGCUGUCCUUAAAAAAGAAGAAAUCCAGAGAGGCGAAUGUCAUGUGAAGACACAGAGAAAUACAGGGAGAAAGGUCAUCAUGCAAAGACAAGGCCAGUGUGGGGUUAUGUUGCCACAAGCCAAGAAACUGGGAAAGGCAAGAAAAAAAUCUCUCUCUAUAGCAUUCCCAAGGAGCACGGGCCUGCUGACACCUUCAUUUUACACUUCCUCUCCAGAAUGGUGAGAUAAUAAAUUUCUGUUUGUCACAGCAGCCCUAAGAAACUAAUACAGGCUGCUGGAUUUGAUUGUCUGAUGAAUAGAAGAGAGGAGGGAAGACAUGCGAACAAAACCAGUCAUUGAGUAUAAGGGUUGGGAGAUGUCCAUUCAUUUACUUAUUCAUUCAACAAACAUUCACUGAGCACUAAUUUAGUGCAGACACAAGCAAGCUAGAUGUUGAGGACAGAGUACUCGAGGAUCAAAAUCAGGCUUCUUCAGGGAGCCUUCCUGUUGCUAGGGGUGGUGAUCAGACAAUUAAUGGAAUAUAUAAUUAAUAUUAGGGAGGGCUAGAGGUCAAAGGGGAACAACUAGGUCGUGUGGUGUGGAAGGGAGUGCAAAGCAAGAGAAAGGAUGAUCAAAAAGGCUCAGUGAAGGAGACUUUGAAGAUGAGCUCCAUCAGUAGGAUCCAGCAUAGGAAGAUGGAAGAGAGCUUCACACAUAAGUGAAUCUGGAAGACCUUAACUGAUGGAUUCUCUCCUGAAGCCGCCUGUCAGCAGGUCUGUACUGAGGACGGGCAUGCCCAACAUGGCACCGCAUACUGUGAUUGAGCGCACGUUCAAUUUGGAGACACAACUAAGUGUUCCUCAUGCCAGCAGAUCCGAAACAACAUCUUGUUAUAGAGAAUCCAGAAAAGAGAAAAAUGCACAGAGAAGAAAACAACAGUGCCCCAGGUCUUUUGUGAACGUUAACAGACAUUUAUUGAUAAUGGAUUCUUCCACGAAUGCUCCACGACAGCUGCCUCAUUAGCUCGGCUGACCUUCUUGUCCUCCUGGUUUCCUCCGCAUGAGGCAAACCCGCUUCUUCCGGGUCCCUGGACUUUCUCUACCUUAACCCCCAGGCCUCUUUCAGGUAUUGUUUAUUGUCUCUCUUCUCACUCCUACUUCUGAGCUCAGCACAGGUGCCCAGUCCUCAGAGGAACCUUCCCUGCCCUCUGAGACGGGCUCCUUCAUAGCGUGUGUCCGAGUUGUAAUUUUCCUUUGGUCUUAACCAGCAGCUUGUGAUCAGGACUGCUAAGCUAGCUCAGCGACCAUGCCUGUGAGGGCAGAGAUGUGCAGACGGUGCUUCUGUUGGGUAGGGGUCGGCUCCUGGCCCACAGUGGGCCCUCAGUGGGCAGCCUGUGCAUGCAGGAGCCAAGGACUCCGGGAAAUGCCUAUCGGCGAUUGGACUGUGCAUCUUGGAUUUUGUGUGCAGCCUAUAGGUUGUGAAGUGAUAAAUAAAAAAUUUAGUGAGGGGCACCAUGGUGGUUCAGUCAUUUAAGCAGUCUCAGGUCAUGAUCUUAGAGUCCUGGGAUGGAGCCCUGCAUAAGGCUCCAUGCUUGGUGCGGAGCCUGCUUAAGAUUCUCUGUCUCUCCACCUUCUUCUCCCUCCCUCUUCGUUCCCCCUUCCCCCUGUUGUCUCCCUGAAAUAGAUAAAUAAGUGUUUUAAAAAAAUUAGUGUGGGGCUCCUGAGUGGCUCAGUCAGUUAAGCAUUCACCUCUUAGUUUCAGCUCAGGUCAUGAUCUCAGGGUCCUGGGAUCCAGCCCCAUGUUGGGUUUCGUGCUCAGCAGGGAGUCUAUUUUAAGAUUUCUUUUUUUCUCUCUCCCUCUGCCCCUUCCCCUCCUCAUGCUCUCUCUAUCAAAUAAAUAUAUAAAUUCUUAAAAAUAAAAAAAUAAAAUAAAUUAAAAAAAUUUAGU